GGCGCGGUACCCAAGUGGUAAGGGAACUGUCUGCAAAACAGUCAUUCGGCGGUUCAAAUCCGCCCCGCGCCU
rfam:Candidate division WOR-1 bacterium RIFOXYB2_FTLL_37_13 rifoxyb2_full_scaffold_135, whole genome shotgun sequence.